UACAGAGGGUGCGAGCGUUAAUCGGAAUUACUGGGCGUAAAGCGCACGUAGGUGGCGACGUAAGUCGGGUGUGAAAGCCCCGGGCUCAACCUGGGAAUUGCAUUCGAGACUGCAUUGCUGGAGUACGGAAGAGGAAGGCGGAAUUCCCGGUGUAGCGGUGAAAUGCGUAGAUAUCGGGAGGAACAUCAGUGGCGAAGGCGGGUCUCUGGGCCGAAACUGACGCUGAGGAGCGAAAGCGUGGGGAGCAAACAGG
rnacentral:rRNA from 1 species